ACAGUCACACAUUAGAUACCCCCGUAGUCCUAGCCGUAAACGAUACUCGCUAGGUGUCGGCCACGGUGCGACCGUUGUCGGUGCCGUAGGGAAGCCGUGAAGCGAGCCACCUGGGAAGUACGGCCGCAAGGCUGAAACUUAAAGGAAUUGGCGGGGGAGCACCACAACGGGUGGAGCUUGCGGUUUAAUUGGAUUCAACGCCGGAAAUCUUACCGGGACCGACAGCAACAUGAAGGCCAGGCUGAAGACUUUGCCGGAUUAGCUG
rnacentral:rRNA from 1 species